AUCCGCAUGGAUUUUGUUUGAAAGGUGGCUUCGGCUAUCACUUCUGGAUGAUCCCGCGGCGUAUUAGUUAGUUGUGGUGAGGUAAAGGCCCACCAAGACGAUGAUACGUAGCCGACCUGAGAGGGUAAUCGGCCACAUUGGGACUGAGACACGGCCCAAACUCCUACGGGAGGCAGCAGUAGGGAAUCUUCCACAAUGGACGAAAGUCUGAUGGAGCAAUGCCGCGUGAGUGAAGAAGGGUUUCGGCUCGUAAAACUCUGUUGUUAAAGAAGAACACCUUUGAGAGUAACUGUUCAAGGGUUGACGGUAUUUAACCAGAAAGCCACGGCUAACUACGUGCCAGCAGCCGCGGUAAUACGUAGGUGGCAAGCGUUGUCCGGAUUUAUUGGGCGUAAAGCGAGCGCAGGCGGUUUUUUAAGUCUGAUGUGAAAGCCUUCGGCUUAACCGGAGAAGUGCAUCGGAAACUGGGAGACUUGAGUGCAGAAGAGGACAGUGGAACUCCAUGUGUAGCGGUGGAAUGCGUAGAUAUAUGGAAGAACACCAGUGGCGAAGGCGGCUGUCUAGUCUGUAACUGACGCUGAGGCUCGAAAGCAUGGGUAGCGAACAGGAUUAGAUACCCUGGUAGUCCAUGCCGUAAACGAUGAGUGCUAAGUGUUGGAGGGUUUCCGCCCUUCAGUGCUGCAGCUAACGCAUUAAGCACUCCGCCUGGGGAGUACGACCGCAAGGUUGAAACUCAAAGGAAUUGACGGGGGCCCGCACAAGCGGUGGAGCAUGUGGUUUAAUUCGAAGCUACGCGAAGAACCUUACCAGGUCUUGACAUCUUCUGCCAAUCUUAGAGAUAAGACGUUCCCUUCGGGGACAGAAUGACAGGUGGUGCAUGGUUGUCGUCAGCUCGUGUCGUGAGAUGUUGGGUUAAGUCCCGCAACGAGCGCAACCCUUAUUAUCAGUUGCCAGCAUUCAGUUGGGCACUCUGGUGAGACUGCCGGUGACAAACCGGAGGAAGGUGGGGAUGACGUCAAAUCAUCAUGCCCCUUAUGACCUGGGCUACACACGUGCUACAAUGGACGGUACAACGAGUCGCGAAGUCGUGAGGCUAAGCUAAUCUCUUAAAGCCGUUCUCAGUUCGGAUUGUAGGCUGCAACUCGCCU
rnacentral:rRNA from 1 species